GACGAACGCUGGCGGCGUGCUUAACACAUGCAAGUCGAACGGAAAGGCCCUGCUUUUGUGGGGUGCUCGAGUGGCGAACGGGUGAGUAACACGUGAGUAACCUGCCCUUUACUUUGGGAUAACUUCAGGAAACUGGGGCUAAUACCGGAUAGGAGCUCCUGCUGCAUGGUGGGGGUUGGAAAGUUUCGGCGGUUGGGGAUGGACUCGCGGCUUAUCAGCUUGUUGGUGGGGUAGUGGCUUACCAAGGCUUUGACGGGUAGCCGGCCUGAGAGGGUGACCGGCCACAUGGGGCCUGAGAUACGGCCCAGACUCCUACGGGAGGCAGCAGUGGGGAAUAUUGCACAAUGGGCGGAAGCCUGAUGCAGCAACGCCGCGUGCGGGAUGACGGACUUCGGGUUGUAAACCGCUUUCGCCUGUGACGAAGCGUGAGUGACGGUAAUGGGUAAAGAAGCACCGGCUAACUACGUG
rnacentral:rRNA from 1 species